UGUGAUUAAUGCCGCAGCACAAAGGAGAGUUAGGAGCUUUUUGAAGGAUAAUGCACUUAAGUUAUUAUUAAUGCGAUUUGUUUGGAUGAGGUGCAUCCGGUGAUGUGAACAGCUGGAUCAGUGGGAAUGUUGCAGGCCCUGCGUGGUGCACCUAGCGUUUCACACAUGAGCUGGCAGACCGGAGAUGGGAAACAUUUUCACAAUCACCCAGAGAGCAUUACACUCCAACACCGACACAAAUGUGUGUGAAGAUUAAGUUUGAAAACUCAAGUGAG